rnacentral:rRNA from 1 species
GACGAACGCUGGCGGCGUGCUUAACACAUGCAAGUCGAGCGGAAAGGCCUUCUGGGGUUCUUGGGUGGCGAAUGCGCGAGUGACAAGCGGGUAAGUAGCACCAGACUUAGGGAUAACCAACGGAAACAUGGGCUAAUACCGCAUACGCCAAUGCCCGGCAUGACGUCAGUGUGGUGAGUUUUUUGGAUUACGAUUGUCUGGCGGCUGGGGAUGUUGUCGCUGGGUAUCAGGUUGUUGGUGGGGUGAUGGCCUACCAAGGCGGCGACGGGGAGCGGGCCUGAGAGUGCGACCGGCGACACUGGGACGGAGACACGGCCCAGACGCCUACGGGAGGCAGCAGUGGUGAAUAGUGCACAAUGGGCGGAAGGCUGAUGCAGCGACGCCGGGUGUGGGAUGACGGCCUUCGUGUUGUAAACCGCUUGCAGCAGGGACGAAGCGUAAGUGACGGUACCUGCAGAAGAAGCGCCGGCCAACUACGUG